AUAUUUGCUAAAAUCCUAAAGUUUAAUUUUUCAGUUUGUGUUUUCGGGUUGACGAUGGAAUGAAUAGCUAGUAAAUAGACAGUAACGAGGUAUAAUGGUUUUCGUAAGUAAACGGGAGGUGGAUUAGGUACAGCGGCUAAAUAUUACCGGAAUAAUACCUAAAAACGCGUAACCUACUGGUUUGGCGAAAGCACUUGUAGGAUUAAUAUUAAUUGAGAUAGAAUUAAUGGUUUGAAAAUAGUUUUAACACCUAAUAAACGCGAGUUUAAUUUAUACCUUGGCCAGAUGGUUUGCGGCCACUGGUUGUAAAAAAGAGGUACACACUUAUUAUAAAAACGGUAAUGGGACGCAAACAAACACCAAUAUGGCAAAAGAUGCGUAUUAAUUAUAUGGAAGCUCGAUUCAGAAAUAUUAUUUUGCGGAGGUUCAAAAUUUUGGCAAAAGCAAAAUUGCAAAACCCUAGGUUGCCGUCCUUUUGGAAGGAUAGGGCAAAAGAACAAGAACAUUUGUUACCAGCGUCGAAAAUUUGGUUGAAAAAGUGGAAACCCAUCCUGAAAUUAUAAUAAUUAAAAUUAUGUUUUUUUUUGCAGGUUUCAAGCUGGAAAAACGACCAGCCCCUCCGCAUUCUACAAUUCAAAUUCGGACGAUUUUCCUUAAUAAACUUAUAUAAUCGAAGGUGACGUAAGAAUAUAGGGGCUUUUACCAAAAAUGGUCGUCGUUUAAACAAUCGUCCCACGCCACAUUAACGAUUUCGAUUUGGUAAAAUUUAUUUAAUUCCAUUAAAAUACGUUGCAGGGAAUAAAUAAUAGUUUCUUAUAUUUUUAUCCUAACACUUAUAAAUGGGUAUAUGGGGUUGGAGUUUAAAUAUAAAUAUAAUUCGUAUAUAAUCUUUUUAUAUGUUUCGACAGCAGAUAGCCUUAUUUUCCCCCAUUAUCAACUAUUUCUAAUUUCGAAGAUAAGCGUGCCGAAGCAAAAGGGCAAAGAUUUGAAGGAGGCGCAGGGAAGCGGAAAUUCCACCAUUAUCUGCAGCUGCGGAAAAUGCUUUAUAGCAAAGUUUUCAUUUGAACAGUAUUGGAGGGAUUCGCCCAAAUACAAAAAUAAGGUGCAGCCCAACGACUUUCCGAAGGUUGACCAGAAUAAGGCAAAUGUUUAGUACAGCAUUACUGUUAUUAGUUGCUGAUUUUUGUUUUCCAUUUCGGAAUUGAGAAAUUGUAAAAUAUUACUAACUAUUUCAAAUUUCAGAACCAGAUACGUAAUUGUAAUAAGGUAAAACCUUUUAUUUAGGUUGGUGUUUAUUUUAAAUAAUUCCAGGAUUAUGGGCGCACGUAUAAAAGUUAAUUAACAACAAUACGUAGGUUGUGAAAACGUCCAAGAAAGUUAUCGCGGGGGAUGACAGCGUUGAAACCAGUGAAAACGGGCCAAGAAAGAACCCAAAUAAGCGACGUUAAGAACAAAUAACCAAAUAUGAAAACAGCAAAUUAAAUUACUCGUGUGGUAGCGUUAGUGGUAUAAUUUUCCUCCCACGUCGCCCUGGCGGCUACAAUUCUAGCCCUGCGCAUUUCCCGAGUUCUGGAAGCAGAAACCGCAUAAUUCCAACGAAAUCCUAUGGCGGAGGUCGAUAUCUGGUCGGAGACUGUGGGUAUUAUAGCCAAUAUCUUGGCGUAAACCAUUUCUAAAAACGGGUUAGGAUAAUAAUAUUAUUACGUACGGAUAAGGUAGCCUGCUGCAACAGGAAGCAAAAAUUUCGCCGAUUAAAUUUUUUUAUCCCCUAUUUUAUAUUACAUACACGCGUUAACAGUAAUUUACUAUAUAGCCGUAACGCGCGCAUAUAUAUCCUGAGAAUUAAAACAUUUUCUGCUAUCGCAACUGGCUGCAAAUUGACAAAAACCAACAUUAUGUGGUUUUCCCAAACAUGCUUUUUAACCAUGCGGAGGAAUUUUAUAUAAAUAUAUUGGCCCGCACAAAAUAUGGGACGAGGUGUACAAUUUACUGGACAGCCGUUUUAACACUAAUGCGAAUUAUAAUAAGCAGGCGUUAUAAUUUUUUUUUUAAAUAGCAACCCGAAUGCGGUGGCGAUGGCGAUUAUAUAAUUAUCGGGUUAACCAAUCUCGCAUACCGGGAGCGAUUUGUAGUGAUAAAUAUAGUGCCAUUACCCUAAAGUAUUCCAGAUAAGGCGUUUUAGCGAAUGUUAUAAAUUUUUGACAAAUGGGCUGUUUUUAACAUAUAAUGGUUAAACUUUAAUUAAAGUCUCAAAUAGGAUGCGAAAAUGGAGCCGUCUAUAAUAUAUAAGUUGAAUUAUGGAACUUCGAUAGUUAGUCUGGCCUGGAAGGUGGCGCGUAAUAAAUAUUAUUAAAAAGACCUUAAAUCGGCUAAUCCGGCGCCGAUUAAAUUAAAAUUUAAAGUUUUCCCUCUUACCACAGCAAAACAGUAGCUCGGACUUAAAUUUGGCAAUUAGAAAAGUUGAGGAUUGAUAAAUUUGAGGUAAAAUAAACUCUUAUUAGCGAGAGUAUAAGUGCCGAUAUUCCCGCUAAUUUUAAAUUUAUUAAAAUUUAAAGGUAAUACCGUUUGAAGUUACCAACCGGAAAUAGGCCGGGAUCGCUGCUGUCGGCAAUUAGCGGUAGAAUCCGUAUAUUUUAGGAAGACUUUUUCCGGUCGGUGUAGGCGACGUACAGGUCGCUGGCGAUAGUUUAUUUUAUAUACGCGGGUGACGGCAAAAUUUGUUUGGGUUUAUAUACCUCCUCGCCAUCGACCCUGCGACGUUUCGGGUUUCUCUCGAUGGGGCUAGUUUCCCUGGUAAGAUCCCACCCAAAAAAUCCCAUUUAGUAUGGAAGCGAAAUUAAAAACAAAAGGUUAAUUACAAAUUUGUAGAAAUCGACAUAAUAUAUGCCGGGUCACCAAAUUGCUCCUCGCAUCUCUAACAUUUGCCACGUAUUUUCCACGUAUUUCCCACGACUUAGCAAUAUUAUAACCUUUUUUCCAAAUUCUAUAUAAUAUUUGGUCCAUCCCGAAUGUGAGAUUCUGGGAAGAUAUGGAGAGCAUUUCGAAGAAAAAGUAAAUUAAUUGAAAAUAUAGGUGUUUCGCCCAAACUAAUCGCAAAUUAAUUUAAUAUCGCCACGUUUAUUCCAUUCCGUUUUAUCGUUGGCCCGGCGAAACGAGAGUUUACCAUAUAUUCCUACCUUAUCGUUCACCAAUUUAUUGUUUUAAAAGUAUUGGUAAAAGGGGGAUUUAAAGAAGCAAUUAAAUAAUCGGUCGAAUGGGAUAACGUUAACGAGCUGAUUUUCGUUAGCUUUUGGUAUUUUAUUUACAGCGGAGAUUAUAAUAUUCCAAAGCAGCUCGUUUCGCCUGCAUUAAAAAUCUCCACCAAUCCCGUGAAGGCAGACGCGUUUGAAGCUUAGUCUGGUAAAUGCACCCAAAUCGAGCAGUUUUAACCUGAAAUUUUGGACCCAAACGAAGAAAGGUUAGUCGAACCUUUUGGGGUCGACAAUUGGGGCUCUUUCGCGUCAGUUAAAAAAUGUUGCAAAAAAUGCAAAUGUUGCAAAAAAAAGAACGCAUAUAAAUGGGGUGAAGAUAUUAUUACUGCAUAUACGGCUAUAAAGAGAAAAACAAACAGAGAAAUUUUAUGGGAUGAUUUUAAACGGUUAUGGCGCAUGGACCUUUCCGGCUUUACCAAAAACGGCAUAUUUGAUACAAAAGGCGGGCCGGACGCGGAUAUACUCAUUUACCAUUACUAAAUAUAUGUUCUAACAAAUCGCUAUGGAAUUAUUCGAUUAAUGGACGUGUUACUGCAAAAACUCCACCAAAUUUUGGUUAAAUCCAAAAUACCUAAGAACAACCUUAACGAUAUCGUGGCAUUGGUACGAUUUUGCUAUGGAGAAUUGGUUCCCGAAAAACUGAGACAAAUGGUAAUCCAUUAUAUUUCCUGUAACGUGGAAAGUUUGUGGAAGAUUAAGGAGUUUCAGGAGUUUUUGGAGGAAUAUGGCGGUUUGGCAAGGGUAUUUGUGGGGUCUAUAUUAUUAAAACUAAACUGAUGAAAUGUUACGGUUAAGGUAUCGGGUAACCUGUUCUUAUGGUAAAAUACAAUGGGUUGAAACAAUUAAGCGUUUAAAUUGGGUAACUGGGGUUUCUUAAUAAUUGGGGUGAAAUAAUAAUUAAUUGUAUAACGAGCUUAAUUGCUGCUAAACAAUCUUAAGCUAAACUCUAUUUACAUAGUAAUAAACGUCUUUUAUAUAAACUAAUAAUUAUUUCGUAUAAGUGAUUACGAUUACCUCUAAAUAAUCGCUAUUAGGGCUAAUUAUUUCCUUGGCGGUAAUCGUAACCACGCCGGUUUGGUAAUCGGGUUAGGGUUCCUUUAUUUUAUCGUUACGUGAUUCGGAGCUUCCUGUUCCUGUUUCUCGGUUCGUAUUUUUUGGUGGUUCCGGUUUGGGUUCCCGACACUUCUUCCUUUUUUUGCCCAAUAGUGUCAGCCCCAAUCCUGGUCGUAACAAUUGGUAUAAUUGUGCGAGUGUUAUCCUGUAACCUUGUAAUAAAUCAUUACACAAAAAGGAACUAGCUUAUUUAUAACUUGAACCUAGUCCGAAACUCGUCGUCCCGUAUAUAGGCAGAUAUUCUGGCAAAUAUAACCCCUUUUGGAAAGCCGGGAAAAUCGUCUGGCUGUGGGGGUCAAAUAAAAUAAAUGGAUGCGCAGUAAAGUUGCAAGGUGUUGCAGCAAAAGGCGUCUGUGGUUCGAUAAAUAAGGAUGGUUGGUUUUGGUCUAUGGUUUGAACCGGGAAAAGAGCAGGUAAUGCAGCAUUUGCAAUGGUCACGGGAGGUUGUCCGUAUAUUGUAUCGCCGGGCAGCCAGGUGGUAACGUCGGUCUAUGCAUCAGGAACGUCCAAAUUGCUUAAUUCAGUGGUCCUUAGGCUGACUUUUGCUCCUAUCCAAUUUGCAAUAUUUUGAAUAUUCGGAAAAGUUGGCUUCCCCCUAUUUUUCGACACGGGUCGGGCUUUUGCUGUAAAUGUGCAGGUUUUAUUUAACCGGAUACAGUUGCUGCAAUCUUUAGCGUCCUUAGGAGAAACCAUGCACCUGACUUUUCGCUUCCUUUUGUAAAGCUGGAGCAAAUCUGGGUGCUUGUUAUUGGCGGAACGGCUGAAACUCGGGAGCAAGCCAAAAGUUUAGGCUUUAACAAGGUCCUGAUAAUUAUCAUCAGAUUUUAUUAAUCGACACUGCGAAUAUAGUAUCUCCUUGGUAAAUGCUGCCCUAACGUGACCGCAAUUCCGUUUUGCACAUGGUUUUGGAUCCCGUAUUCACCUCCCAGGUUUGUGGAGCGCUAGUCGUUAUUGCUGGAGAAUUCGCCGUCCGACAAUCCGUUAUCUACCCAUCGACCACCGGAUGGUGCGUUGGUAGGUUUAAGAUUUUGCUGGGAUAAAAUUGUCCCAAUUAUUAAACGCCGAUUCGAAAGUAUUUGGUUCCGCAAUGGCUGCUGUUUUUUAUUAUUUAAUUGCAACAAAUUACUGGUGUUUGUUAAUGUGUAAAUUGUUUUUUAACGUUUCCCAUUUCCCCCGCUGGUGCCAAUAACCAUAUCUGGUUUACGCUUUAGAAGCACCUUAUAAUUCGACAUAAUUCUGUUAUUUUGGUGCUGGAAAUGGUUAUCCGAACAAGGAUAUACGCUCUGGUUCCGUGAAACGAUGCGCCCCAUAGAACGUUGCGGCGUCGGCGAGGCGUUCUUUGCAACGUUUGCUAAUAAAUAAAAUCCAUUUAAAGGAUUUGCGCCAUUAUUUUUCGGAUUCGCAGAAACAUUUAAAACGUAAUGUUAAAAUGUCGCAAUGGUUUUUGCCCUAAUAUCCAAUUUACCAGGGCUCAAAUUUGUUGUUGGGCUAUGUGAAACAAAUCCGGGGGAGGAAUUUGGGACUGUAGGUGUAGAUGGCUGGUAUUGGCCGACUAAAUUAAAAGGUUCAAAUAUAAUUCCCUACCAAAUUAUUAAUAUAAAAUUAU
rnacentral:sRNA from 1 species